rnacentral:lncRNA from 1 species
GUCAUGUGAUGCCCUGUGUCACCUUAAGCCUCUGCAGAGAGUUCCUACAAGAAGGCCCUCAUUAGAUGUAGCUUCUUGACCUUGGACUUCCUAGUCUUCAGAACUGAUUAAGAAGCCAUUAACCAGAACCACUUAGCUAAAAUGAAUCUUGCUUCCUUCCUACCGGAGUACUCCUCCUCUAGAUUUAUCUGGGUGCCAAUAUCAUCAAAGGAGCUACAUGUCAUCUUGAAUGAGUUUUGGGAAGGAAGGCCAGCCAAUGUCAGAAGUUGUUUGAAUGAAAAGCUGAGACUUUUCAAAGUUGCCUUUAAUCAUACGCUGACUCAAUAAAUAAAGACAUCUAAACCAGAUUGAAUCAUGCAUUAUCAAUGCUGAAAGACAACCUACAAUAAAAU